CACAGGCUGUGAACUCGAAGAGUAGGGCGGGACACGUGGUAUCCUGUCUGAAUAUGGGGGGACCAUCCUCCAAGGCUAAAUACUCCUGACUGACCGAUAGUGAACCAGUACCGUGAGGGAAAGGCGAAAAGAACCCCGGCGAGGGGAGUGAAAAAGAACCUGAAACCGUGUACGUACAAGCAGUGGGAGCACCUUCGGGUGUGACUGCGUACCUUUUGUAUAAUGGGUCAGCGACUUAUAUUCUGUAGCAAGGUUAACCGUAUAGGGGAGCCGAAGGGAAACCGAGUCUUAACUGGGCGUUAAGUUGCAGGGUAUAGACCCGAAACCCGGUGAUCUAGCCAUGGGCAGGUUGAAGGUUGGGUAACACUAACUGGAGGACCGAACCGACUAAUGUUGAAAAAUUAGCGGAUGACCUGUGGCUGGGGGUGAAAGGCCAAUCAAACCGGGAGAUAGCUGGUUCUCCCCGAAAGCUAUUUAGGUAGCGCCUCGUGAACUCAUCUUCGGGGGUAGAGCACUGUUUCGGCUAGGGGGCCAUCCCGGCUUACCAACCCGAUGCAAACUACGAAUACCGAAGAAUGUUAUCACGGGAGACACACGGCGGGUGCUAACGUCCGUCGUGAAGAGGGAAACAACCCAGACCGCCAGCUAAGGUCCCAAAGUCAUGGUUAAGUGGGAAACGAUGUGGGAAGGCCCAGACAGCCAGGAUGUUGGCUUAGAAGCAGCCAUCAUUUAAAGAAAGCGUAAUAGCUCACUGGUCGAGUCGGCCUGCGCGGAAGAUGUAACGGGGCUAAACCAUGCACCGAAGCUGCGGCAGCGACGCUUAUGCGUUGUUGGGUAGGGGAGCGUUCUGUAAGCCGUUGAAGGUGGCCUGUGAGGGUUGCUGGAGGUAUCAGAAGUGCGAAUGCUGACAUAAGUAACGAUAAAGCGGGUGAAAAGCCCGCUCGCCGGAAGACCAAGGGUUCCUGUCCAACGUUAAUCGGGGCAGGGUGAGUCGACCCCUAAGGCGAGGCCGAAAGGCGUAGUCGAUGGGAAACAGGUUAAUAUUCCUGUACUUGGUGUUACUGCGAAGGGGGGACGGAGAAGGCUAUGUUAGCCGGGCGACGGUUGUCCCGGUUUAAGCAUGUAGGCGGAGGUUCCAGGUAAAUCCGGUACCUUUUAACGCUGAGGUGUGAUGACGAGGCACUACGGUGCUGAAGUAACAAAUGCCCUGCUUCCAGGAAAAGCCUCUAAGCAUCAGGUAACAUCAAAUCGUACCCCAAACCGACACAGGUGGUCAGGUAGAGAAUACCAAGGCGCUUGAGAGAACUCGGGUGAAGGAACUAGGCAAAAUGGUGCCGUAACUUCGGGAGAAGGCACGCUGAUAUGUAGGUGAAGCCCCUGCGGGUGGAGCUGAAAUCAGUCGAAGAUACCAGCUGGCUGCAACUGUUUAUUAAAAACACAGCACUGUGCAAACACGAAAGUGGACGUAUACGGUGUGACGCCUGCCCGGUGCCGGAAGGUUAAUUGAUGGGGUUAGCGGUAACGCGAAGCUCUUGAUCGAAGCCCCGGUAAACGGCGGCCGUAACUAUAACGGUCCUAAGGUAGCGAAAUUCCUUGUCGGGUAAGUUCCGACCUGCACGAAUGGCGUAAUGAUGGCCAGGCUGUCUCCACCCGAGACUCAGUGAAAUUGAACUCGCUGUGAAGAUGCAGUGUACCCGCGGCAAGACGGAAAGACCCCGUGAACCUUUACUAUAGCUUGACACUGAACACUGGUCCUUGAUGUGUAGGAUAGGUGGGAGGCUUUGAAGCGUGGACGCCAGUCUGCGUGGAGCCAUCCUUGAAAUACCACCCUUUAAUGGCUGGUGUUCUAACGUAGACCCGUAAUCCGGGUUGCGGACAGUGUCUGGUGGGUAGUUUGACUGGGGCGGUCUCCUCCCAAAGAGUAACGGAGGAGCACGAAGGUUAGCUAAUCCUGGUCGGACAUCAGGAGGUUAGUGCAAUGGCAUAAGCUAGCUUGACUGCGAGAGUGACGGCUCGAGCAGGUGCGAAAGCAGGUCAUAGUGAUCCGGUGGUUCUGAAUGGAAGGGCCAUCGCUCAACGGAUAAAAGGUACUCCGGGGAUAACAGGCUGAUACCGCCCAAGAGUUCAUAUCGACGGCGGUGUUUGGCACCUCGAUGUCGGCUCAUCACAUCCUGGGGCUGAAGUAGGUCCCAAGGGUAUGGCUGUUCGCCAUUUAAAGUGGUACGCGAGCUGGGUUUAGAACGUCGUGAGACAGUUCGGUCCCUAUCUGCCGUGGGCGCUGGAGAAUUGAGGGGGGCUGCUCCUAGUACGAGAGGACCGGAGUGGACGCAUCACUGGUGUUCGGGUUGUCAUGCCAAUGGCACUGCCCGGUAGCUAAAUGCGGAAGAGAUAAGUGCUGAAAGCAUCUAAGCACGAAACUUGCCCCGAGAUGAGUUCUCCCUGAGACUUAAAGUCUCCUGAAGGAACGUU
rnacentral:rRNA from 1 species